rnacentral:rRNA from 1 species
AUUGAACGCUGGCGGCAGGCCUAACACAUGCAAGUCGAGCGAGCGGCGGACGGGGGAGUAAUGUAUGGGGACUGCCCGAUAGAGGGGGAUAACUACUGGAAAAGGUAGCUAAUACCGCAUACUAUCGGAUAACCCAUAUGGGAUUAGCUAGUAGGUGAGGUAAUGGCUCACCUAGGCGACGAUCCCUAGCUGGUCUGAGAGGAUGAUCAGCCCCACUGGGACUGGGCAACGGCCCAUGCUCCCACGGAGGCAGGCAUGGGGAAUAUUGCACAAUGGGCGCAAGCCUGAUGCAGCCAUGCCGCGUGUAUGAAGAAGGCCCUAGGGUUGUAAAGUACGUUCAGUCGGGAGGCGUUACCGACAGAAGAAGCACCGGCUAACUCCGUGCCAGCAGCCGCGGUAAUUC